GACGAACGCUGGCGGCGUGCUUAACACAUGCAAGUCGAACGAUGAACUUGGAGCUUGCUCUGGGGGAUUAGUGGCGAACGGGUGAGUAACACGUGAGUAACCUGCCCUGGACUCUGGGAUAACUUCGAGAAAUCGGAGCUAAUACCGGAUAGGACCUUGCACCGCAUGGUGUGGGGUGGAAAGUUUUUCGGUUUGGGAUGGACUCGCGGCCUAUCAGCUUGUUGGUGAGGUAAUGGCUCACCAAGGCGUCGACGGGUAGCCGGCCUGAGAGGGCGACCGGCCACACUGGGACUGAGACACGGCCCAGACUCCUACGGGAGGCAGCAGUGGGGAAUAUUGCGCAAUGGGCGAAAGCCUGACGCAGCGACGCAGCGUGAGGGACGAAGGCCUUCGGGUUGUAAACCUCUUUCAGCGGGGACGAAGCGAAAGUGACGGUACCCGCAGAAGAAGCACCGGCUAACUACGUGCCAGCCGCCGCAGUAAUAC
rnacentral:rRNA from 1 species